AAUAUUCCACGUAGGUACCUUUCAUAACUAGAAGGUCUCUUUCUUCUCGUGUUUUAUGAUUGGCAUACGUGAUUAGGCCUCACAUGGGGAUCCACGUAGGUACCUUUCAUAACUAGAAGGUCUCUUUCUUCUCGUGCUUCAUUCAUGAUUGGCAUACGUGAUCAGGCCUCACAUGGGGAUGUUGUCAGGACAGCCAUCUAGACAUAACUCCCUUGGCAUUGCUUGCACUCUGACCGGUUCUCUCCUUUCUGCUGAUUCUCUUGUUUCUUAUCCAUCGCAAAGCUGUGUUGUGCCUUGUAUGCUGUCAGCAGACGUGGCUGGUCUGGCUGGGAGAAGCAGACACUUGGUGCUUGGUUGGCCUGUUUGUCAAAUUUUGUAGUUAUUUUUAGAUGGGUGAAACUGAAGGGGCAGAUGAC
rnacentral:lncRNA from 1 species